rnacentral:RNase_P_RNA from 1 species
UUAGCGAAGGCGGACUCUCAUGCUUGCUCUAUUUAGAGUGAACAAGAUUGGCAGCAGGGUAGCAGGUAACGCCUGUCUGGAGUAAUCCAAGAGGUGCGAGCAGAGACGAGUCCCUCCCCAGUUUGCAAAAACUGGGGAGGGGGUGAAACGGUCCCGAUUCCGUUUACGGAACCGAGGACUCCGACCUCGCAAGAGCGUCGGAGCAAAAUCCUUACCUGAAUGCAAGGCCGUAUCCCUCCCCAGUUUGCAAGCAAACUGGGGAGGGGGGUGCCGCUUGAUCCGCCUGGUGACAGGCGAGACAGAUAAAUAACUAUCCCCCGUGAGACAUUCAUGUCUUUUACGGGGACAGAAUUCGGCUUAUAGACACCCAAAGUCC